GUGAACGCUGGCGGUAGGCCUAACACAUGCAAGUCGAACGGCAGCACAGAGGAGCUUGCUCCUUGGGUGGCGAGUGGCGGACGGGUGAGGAAUACAUCGGAAUCUACUCUGUCGUGGGGGAUAACGUAGGGAAACUUACGCUAAUACCGCACACGACCUACGGGUGAAAGCAGGGGAUCUUCGGACCUUGCGCGAUUGAAUGAGCCGAUGUCGGAUUAGCUAGUUGGCGGGGUAAAGGCCCACCAAGG
rnacentral:rRNA from 1 species